rnacentral:rRNA from 1 species
GCAGUGAUUGAUUAGUGGCGAACGGGUGAGUAACACGUGAGGAACUUGCCCAUGAGCGGGGGACAACAUUCGGAAACGGAUGCUAAUACCCCAUAGGUGGAUUGGUCGCAUGACUAAUUCAUUAAAGGUGGCUCUGCUACCACUCAUGGAUAGCCUCGCGGUGUAUUAGCUAGUUGGUAAGGUAAUGGCUUACCAAGGCAGUGAUACGUAGCCGACUUGAGAGGGUGAUCGGCCACACUGGGACUGAGACACGGCCCAGACUCCUACGGGAGGCAGCAGUAGGGAAUCUUCCACAAUGGGUGCAAACCUGAUGGAGCAAUGCCGCGUGAGUGAAGAAGGUCUUCGGAUCGUAAAGCUCUGUUGUUAGAGAAGAACACGUGCUAGGUAACUACUAGCGCCUUGACGGUAUCUAACCAGAAAGUCACGGCUAACUACGUGCCAGCAGCCGCGGUAAUACGUAGGUGACAAGCGUUGUCCGGAUUUAUUGGGCGUAAAGGGAGCGCAGGCGGUCGGUUUAGUCUAAUGUGAAAGCCCACGGCUUAACCGUGGAACGGCAUUGGAAACUGACAGACUUGAAUGUAGAAGAGGAAAAUGGAAUUCCAAGUGUAGCGGUGGAAUGCGUAGAUAUUUGGAGGAACACCAGUGGCGAAGGCGAUUUUCUGGUCUAACAUUGACGCUGAGGCUCGAAAGCGUGGGGAGCGAACAG